rnacentral:rRNA from 1 species
AUUGAACGCUGGCGGCAGGCCUAACACAUGCAAGUCGAACGAGUGGCGGACGGGUGAGUAAUGUAUGGGCAACUGCCUGAUGGAGGGGGAUAACUACUGGAAACGGGAGCUAAUACCGCAUACCAGCGGAUGAGCCCAGAUGGAGUUGGCUAGUAGGGGGGGGAAAGGCUCACCUAGGCGACGAUCCCUAGCUGGUCUGAGAGGAUGACCGUCAACACUGGAACUGAGACACGGUCCAGACUCCUACGGGAGGCAGCAGUGGGGAAUAUUGCACAAUGGGCGCAAGCCUGAUGCAGCCAUGCCGCGUGUGUGAAGAAGGCCUUCGGGUUGUAAAGUACUGUCAGCGGGGAGGCGUUACCCGCAGAAGAAGCACCGGCUAACUCCGUGCCAGCAGCCGCGGUAAUAC